rnacentral:rRNA from 1 species
GCAAGAUUAAAACUCAAAGGAAUAGACGGGGACCCGCACAAGCGGUGGAGCAUGUGGUUUAAUUCGACGAUACGCGAAGAACCUUACCUGGCCUUGACAUAGACAGAAGUUUGCAGAGACGCAGAUGUGCUAGUUUACUAGAACUGUCAUACAGGUGCUGCACGGCUGUCGUCAGCUCGUGUCGUGAGAUGUUGGGUUAAGUCCCGCAACGAGCGCAACCCUCGUGUUUAGUUACUAACAGUUCGGCUGAGGACUCUAAACAGACUGCCUGGGUAACCAGGAGGAAGGUGAGGACGACGUCAAGUCAUCAUGGCCCUUACGGCCAGGGCUACACACGUGCUACAAUGGGGUAUACAAAGAGCUGCAAUACGGUGACGUGGAGCAAAUCUCAUAAAAUAUCUCCCAGUUCGGAUUGAAGUCUGCAACUCGACUUCAUGAAGUUGGAAUCGCUAGUAAUCGUAGAUCAGCAAUGCUACGGUGAAUACGUUCCCGGGUCUUGUACUCACCGCCCGUCACACCAUGGGAAUUGAAUUCAUUCGAAGCGGGGAUGCUAAAAUAGCUACCUUCCACAGUGGAUUUAGUAACUAGGGUGAAGUCGUAACAAGGUA